CGGCGGGGCGUGGCGGGCGCGCGCGGGGCGCGGGGUCUGAGGCGCCGGGUGGGAGCUGGGCGGUGGGGGCGGCCCCUGUCGGCCGCCCUUCUCUUCCCCGGUGCUUGUGAUUGGGCGGAAGAUGGCGCUGGGCGGAUGGAAAUCCUAAUGACGGUCUCCAAAAUCGCUUCCAUCUGUACCAUGGGCGCCAAUGCCUCAGCUUUGGAGAAAGAGAUUGGUCCUGAACAAUUCCCAGUGGAUGAGCACUAUUUUGGUUUGGUUAAUUUUGGGAAUACAUGCUACUGCAAUUCAGUUCUUCAGGCACUUUAUUUUUGUCGACCAUUUCGAGACAAAGUCCUAGCAUACAGGAGUCAACCAAGAAAAAAAGAGAAUCUCCUUACGUGCUUAGCUGAUCUCUUCCACAGUAUUGCCACACAGAAGAAAAAAGUUGGAGUAAUACCUCCCAAGAAAUUCAUAACAAGGUUACGGAAAGAAAAUGAGCUUUUUGAUAACUACAUGCAGCAGGAUGCACACGAGUUCUUAAACUAUUUAUUAAAUACAGUUGUGGAUAUCCUGCAAGAGGAAGGAAAACAAGAGAAACAAAAUGGUUGCCUACCUAAUGGCAACAUUGGCAAUGAAAAUAGCAGCCCGCCAGACCCGACCUGGGUUCAUGAAAUCUUUCAGGGAACGUUAACUAAUGAAACCAGAUGUCUUACAUGUGAAACUAUAACCAGCAAAGAUGAAGACUUCUUAGACCUUUCAGUUGAUGUGGAGCAGAAUACUUCAAUCACUCAUUGUUUAAGGGGUUUCAGCAAUACAGAAACUCUGUGCAGUGAGUACAAAUAUUACUGUGAAGAAUGUCGCAGUAAGCAAGAAGCACAUAAAAGGAUGAAAAUAAAAAAGCUGCCUAUGAUUCUAGCUCUCUAUUUGAAGAGAUUUAAAUACAUGGAUCAGCUGCAUCGGUACACAAAACUCUCUUAUAGAGUAGUUUUCCCUUUAGAGCUUCGUUUAUUUAACACCUCAGGAGAUGCCACCAAUCCUGACAGAAUGUAUGACCUUGUUGCUGUGGUAGUUCAUUGUGGAAGUGGCCCUAACAGAGGACAUUAUAUUGCAAUAGUGAAGAGUCAUGAUUUUUGGUUGCUUUUUGAUGAUGAUAUUGUUGAGGUGAGCAUUGUGGAACCCUGGGCUUUUCUCUCAUACCAACCAGAGCGCAUGCACUCCCCUUGUGUAUAUGAUUACUUAAAGUAAAAGGACUGGUAUGCUAAUAAAAAGAGGCUUCAACUCCUGUCUAAAAGAGCAAUAACUAAAAUUGAUGCACAAGCUAUUGAAGAAUUCUAUGGUCUGACAUCAGACAUCUCAAAGAACUCUGAGUCUGGUUACAUCCUCUUCUAUCAGUCUCGGGAUUGAGGGGGAACUGUAGUGAAGAAAGAUUUUUAUGCUUCGGAUCUUCUGUAUCUUGGAACGGAGCAAGCACUGAAAAAAAGGAAAGCAGGGAGCUCUGGGGGCAGUAGCACAAUUUGCACACAAAUAAGCAAAGAGUUUGAGAUUCUUAGAACUUUUGUAUCGUUUUAAUUUUAUUUGCUCAGGUAUCGUGCUGACUACACACCUAUCUCCGCUGUGUCCCAUAAGCAAAGAGAGAUACCAGCUACUCUUAUAGGAAGGAGCUUUCUGUUAGGUGAUACUAUCUCGAUAGUCCUAAUUCAAAGCCCCUUAAGGAGAAACUUUCAUGGACUUCUGUGGAAUUUGCAGAUUCAAACUGCACUGCCAGAUUGGUGCAAUAGGAGCAUUAGGAAUCUGUAUUUUAUACAGACUUUGUGUUUGAAAGGUAAAAGACUCUGAAGUUAGUUUCCUGUGCUUAAGUUUAAAAGAAUAAAAUGGGGAGGGUUAACAUGCAAGCAAGAAGAUAUAUCUGGGCCCAAUACAAUUGCCUUCUUGAUGAUAGUAGUUUAACUGAAGAAAUAGACUGGUGUCAGGGGGGCAAGUAUGUUUUGCUUCUCUGAAGGAGCUUACGUUAUUUAUAAUGUAUGACCGGGAGCAGUCAGUCAAGAUUAUGGCUUUUAAUCUCCGUAUGGGGAAAGAUUUGGUUUGAAAUAGUUUAUUUUUAUUUAUAAAUUAUUGUAACUUAGGGGUUUGUGUGUUGUCUUUAAUUCCAACAAGUACUGGAAAUUUUAUAUAUUCAUUUGGAUUAAAAUAAUGUAUGUUUAAAUGUUAAAGAUGAGUCAAUAUAAACUCUAAAAACAAUGCCUACAAUGUCUGUAAAAAAUGAAUAAUGCAGAAGAGUGAUCUCCUUCUGGAGGAACUGGUAUCUAAGUGGGGUACUUUAAUUAAAUUAUAAUAUCCUUCUGUUAAUGAGAGAAAAAAAACUGAUCAAACUAUUACAUUAGAAAAAUUUAAGAACAUGUAUCAUAAGUGCAAUGGUGAUAAAAUGGUCUUUAUAGUUCUUUAAUAAUUUAUUAAUGUUUCAUACUCUAAACCAGUUAGAAUGACUUGGAUCAAUGUAAACCAUUUACAGAAUAUUAUUCCCUCUUCUAAAAAUUGAUUCACUUCUGUUCCGAAUGGCAUGGGUGACUACCUUAAAUACCAUGCAAGGUCUGAAGUAUAAAUUGUGUCUGAGUAAUAAAGAGAAAUAGGGCUGGAAUGUCAUGAGAAUGAAGAUAACCAUAGUCCUUUAAAAGUAGUAGUUCUUCAGUCCUAUAUGGUGAAAAUUUCUGAAACUAAGCAGUUUACCUUACAUUAGGUUCAUGAAACAGCAUUAAGAAUUAAAUCUUGACAAAAUACCUGGUCAGAAAUGUGAACUAUUGUGUUUUGACAUUCUUCUGCUUAUGAGUACAUUGUUUGACAAUAGCUGAAUGUAAUUUGUGGGAAGUCAUGGGAUGUGCAUGCCAGAUUAUGGCAAUGAGGUCUUUGAUGGCCUUGUUUCUCCCUCUUCAACUAGUAGGUUUUUACAUCCUUGUAAUUGUAUUAGGUUAUUUUAUUGAUACUGUUACAACUGUUAAAAAGAAUGUCUCCUGUCUGCUGCUACAACUAUUUACUUACCUGUAUCUUUUCACUCAGGAAAUGACUUCACCUAUUCACUCAGUUGAACAAAUCUUUAACAGGGUCACUAAAUAAAUCGGGCUAUUUAGCAACUGUCAUGCUGUAACAAAUUGCUUUUGUAAGAUGCAAGGUUUCUAGAGCCUUGGUUUGGCUAGAAUUAUUUUAUAGAAAAUUAUGUGUAAUGGUUGAACCGCCAGCACUGUAAAGUAAAGCUUAACUAUUGUGGGAGAUACAGAAAAUAUAAUUGGAUUUGUCUUAAAGGAUUCAAGUAGUUUUGAGAUCAUUUUCAGCCUUCUGUGGAAAAAGGGUUAGGGGAUGAAUCAAUUGGAUAAUGGUGCACAUUAGAAUGAUGAAGCUCUUUGCAUUCUAAAGGUAGAAUAUUGUAAAAGAACUGUCACAUUACUUUUUGCUAAUUGAAAGUGUUUGGUCUGAAAGUGGUUUGUAGUUAAAAACUGAGGUUAGUUGCUAAAUAUUUUAUACCCUAACAAAUUUGAAAACAUUUUGUUGUAUCACUGGUUUUACUCCUGCAAUGAAUUUUUAUAAGAUACUGACUUUUAUUUUGUAUAGGGUUUCUGAGAUAGUAUUCCAAAUUAUAUAUUUCAUUUUUCUUUUAGUGCAACUGCAAUAAUUGUAAGCUCUUGAUUAAACUGAUAUCAGAAACUGCGAGUUAAAUAAAAAAAGAGGCAAGUUAUCAGAAAAUGUAACUGGUUGGUAUGUAAAAUGUUACAGGAUUUUUUCUUGGCUGUAAUACAGUGGGGAGUAUGGAAAAGUCAUCAGUUGUUGUAAAUGGUGAAAAUUAAUUGCUGUGUAACUAUUUAAAUGUUAAUUGGGACUGCAGUCCCCUAUUUUGUAUAUGGAACAAAAAACAUCUAUUAAAUAAAGUAUGUUCUCUAAAGGUAAGAACUGUAUCCUUUGUGGAGCCCGAACGGUCAGUCAGCUGCCUCUUGUGCUUUUCAGUGUUUUCAAAUCUAAAAAGUACCUGGAAUUUCCUAUAUUAAGCUAACUGUCCUGAGCCAUAGAGGGAGUAGGGUGUUGAAAUAUGACAUUUUUUUAAAUACAGUCAUUUUUCUGGUGGUAUACUUCUCCAGAAGUAGUUUUAAAGUAAAUUGUUUGUUUCUGAGGUUGAGGAGAAGGGAGUGUUUUGAAAUACUGUUCUUUCUUGACUUCCAUUUCCUAAAAAAUAAAUCUGUACCUUGCUGUAAAAUAUGCAGCUGAGUUACUGAACGGAUUUUUUGGACCACUGCCUUAUGGGAGGGAAAACAGAAGGAAAGAAAAAUAAGAUUGUUUACAGCACUAACAGAAAAGAGAGGCUGACAAAAAGACGAGAGUCCAGCAUCAGAAGAAAAAGAUGCAGCUGGUUACAAAUAUCCAUGUAUGAUUAGAUAUCAAGUCCUUCUUCACUUGAAGUAUAUACUAAUGUUUGUAAUGAAUAUCUGUACUUAACGAUUUUACGAACAGUUAAUUCCCUACCAUUUUUGUAGUUGACGUGCCCACAUCCAUAGCCUUUAACUGCAUGAAAAUAGUGACUUGGAAUUGAAUUUUCAGAAUUCUGUCAUAAAUCGGAUUGCAAUCUUUAGGUGACGUUCAGAUGUUAGCAUUGGGGGAUUUGAUGCCAGUUUGGAUCUUCUGCUCUGCCAUAACCUUUUGCCAUCUGUGUAGGACUGGCAGGUAUGACACAAGAUACACAGAAGAUCUGCAUCCUUUUGGAGCAGCAGCUUGAAGACAGACACUACACACUGGCUUGUUCCCUGUGUCCAUCUCGGUGUUUCCAAAAGCACUAUUGCAUACGCACUAUUAGGAUCACAUACAAAUGGUAUUGCUUAGUUACUUUUUCUGUGGUGAUAUUUGUAAAGUUUAAAAAUUGAAGUAUCUCAUGCCUUUAGUUACUUUCAUUAUUCCCUUAUUAAAAUUAAAGGAACUUUAUCAUGUGCUAUUUGGUCCAGUCUCUCAGCUGAAGGUUUAAGAUGAUCACGUAUAGACUUACUGCUAAGCUCAUCCAUGUAACUAAAAGGAAUUUUAUGUGGAAUCUUCAGUCUUCACUUACUAGAACUUAUCUUUGUUUCUUAUAUUUGUCUACAGAAAUUUCUAAUUGCUCUUAGCAGAUAAAAUUUUAACUGUGUAGAGUUAAAGUCUUAGACAGAUCCUCUUAACUCUUUAGUAAAAAUUAGUAGUUGUCCCUUAGUAUAGUAUACCUCCACA